AGGAUAUAAAAUGUGGUAUUUAUGGUGCCAAUUUUGCAGAAUGGAUUAUGAGCAUGCAGGUGUUGGGGCUAUAGAGUUUAUUAUAUGUCAUUCAGAGGUCUCAAUUGCACUUGCAGAAGAGAAGAAGAUACCUGAGCUAUUCAAGACAUUUCCAAAUGCAACAAAGUAUCUCAAGAGAUCAAACUCAGAGCUUUGAACUUCCUAUUAAGAAAAGGAUGUAUACAUAUCAUACCUUCCACUCGCACAUACUUUUUUUAGGAUCAUUGAGGAGAUAUUCAUAUGGCAUGGUGCUUCAAUUGGUUUCUGGCGUGGGGAUGUCAAAUUGUUAAUUGAUGAUGUUGGGGAACUAAAAUCAACUAUUUUUUGUGUUGUUCCCCGUGUGCUUGAUAGAGUGUACUUAGGUUUAACACAAAAGAUUUCUUCUGGGGGCUUCUUGAAGAAGACAUUAAAGAAAGACAGGAAAAUCUCCUUUUAUGUUUAUUAUUAUUUUCAAAACUCAAAAAGAAAGACAGAUUUGAACUGUAAUUAUGUUUAUGUAUGAACAUGCGCACACAGUAGAAUCUCCUUUUAUGUU